AAUUACAAAACAAUUUUAUAAAUUGAAGAUAAAUCUCUUUAUAUACAUUAAUAUGUGCUUUUAGACCCAUUUUCGUCUAUUUUAACGUUCCAAUGAAUAGAGCCAUACACUCCUCAACUUAGUUCGCCCAUUUAUCGUCACUAGAUAAACUGUUAUGCUGCAUUUAACUUGUAACUAAACAAGGAAAUUGAGAGUCGCUACAACACUAGUCAGGCAGAACUAUCAUCUGCACACAGAGAUCGGGUGCCCCACCAAAAAUAAAUAUAUCAAUAAUUAUAUCACAGUAUUCAUAUAUAAUCAAGCCCCAACUUAGUUUAUCCCAUUUAUCGUCACUAAAUAAACGGUCAUGUUGCAUUUAACAAGUUAUAAUUAUAACCAUUUAAAGUCACAGUGCAAUAAAAAAUUUGGCUGAAAUUGUAAAUUCAAGCGGACACUGCAUUUUUGAGUGCAAAAUACAUUUAGGUCACAUGGCCAUGGUUUGAACACAGGAGUCUGAAUUUCUGUUUGUAUAUACCUACACCAUACCCUACUAGACAAUAUACAUGUACAAUAAAAAAGGAACUGGAAUGUAAUGCUCACAUUGAAAUGUGGUCGUAUAUUGUCGUCGCCCCCAUCCGUCCGGCGUCCACAAUUGACCUUUCCGUCGACUCCACCCACAAUAAGGCUUUGACCAGUCAGCUCCGAUUACAGUUUUCCGCGAAAUGACAUCGCGUUACCAUGCUUCAUCACCUUAGACAAACUACUGUAUGUGAAAUUUGACAUUUUGUCUUGUGUUGAAACGUCGUCAAUCGUGGUUUAGCAUUGCUCACACAGACAUCGUAACAGCGAUAACUGCUAUCCAGACAGGUAAAGGAUGGUGUAGUGUGCAUUCCCUUCCUGAAACAGUUAAAACAAAUGUGGGAUGUGUCUUCUAGGCCUAAUGGAUAAAAACUGUUGUCGACGUCACUCCCAGUUAAAUGUAAACAAACGUCAAUUCUAACCGGUCAAGUGUGUUCUAAUGUAAGUGUGUUGAAACAACGUCAAUCAUGGUUUAGCAUUGCUCACACAGACAUCGUAACAGCGAUAACUGCUAUCCAGACAGGUUAAAGGGUGGUGUAGUGUGCAUUCCCUUCCCGAAACAGUUAAAACAAAUGUGGGAUGUGUCUUCUAGGCCUAAUGGAUAAAAACUGCUGUCGACGUCACUCCCAGUUAAAUGUAAACAAACGUCAAUUCUAACCGGUCAAGUGUGUUCUAAGCACUUUCUGAAGCUGCCUGGACCAAUAGACACUAAUCCAGAACCAUAUUCAGCUGAUCAUAGUGGAAGUAUAACAUUUAACCAAAACUAACAAGAGAUGCAGCUCAGCUACAUUCCUGAAGAAGAAAAAAAAAUACCAAGAAUUAACAAAAAAAUUUAUUGGUAUUUUAAAAGUUGCUUUAUUGCUGAUGAGCAAGCUUGAUCGUGAGGACUUUAAAAUAAAAGAAGAGAAAGUCUAUAGUCUGCUAAGUUGGAAUGUUUAAUAUAACAAAAACAUAAUUAUAUAAGAACAGUUACAAUGUUUGACAGAAUGUGUCAUAUAUGAAAUAAGUGAAAAACAGAAUUUAAUAUAUCAGAAUGAACAUAACAGGAGAGGGGGGGGGUUAUACUCGCUUGACUGCGAGAGGCACUAUUUGGAAUAUCACGUGAUAAUUUUGUGAAGUCAUGGGCUAUCAGUGGAGAUCACGUGAGGUAUGGAGUCACUGGGAUUCCCCACACGUAGAUCACGUGACGAUUUUGUGACGUCAUGGGAUAUCAGUGGAAAUCACGAGAUGUGGACAUGCUAGAUGUCACGUGAUACGUGACGACACAGGAAUCCUGACAGGUACGUCACGAAUUGGGGAAACCCAGGACGACACGAUUAUAGUGGAUAUAAUAAUGACUUAACCUUAAUCGCUGAAUAUAAACAUAAAUAGAUACAAAUGACCUUUAACGUUAAUACGCUGAAUAUUCGUAGGACCAUACGAACAUGUGCGGAUACAAUAUAUAUAUAAUCCUAAUACAUGUAAAUACAACCAAGAAUCUCAAUAGGUAUGUCACGUGAUUGGAGAAAACAAGAGUGACACGAAUAAUGAAUAUGAUAUAAAAUAUAUCGUCGGUCUCCGCUUAAAACCUCGUUUAACC